rnacentral:rRNA from 1 species
GAUGAACGCUGGCGGCAUGCCUAACACAUGCAAGUCGAUCGGUAAGGCUCUUCGGAGUACACGAGAGGCGGACGGCUGCGUAACGCGUAGGAACACACCCUGCAGUGAGGGAUAAGACACCGAAAGGUGUUCUAAUACCGCAUACGGUCUUCGGAUUAAAGCAUUUAUGCGCUGAAGGAGUGGCCUGCGUCAUCUUAGAUAGUUGGUGAGGUAAUGGCUCACCAAGUCGAUGAUGUGUAGCUGGUCUGAGAGGAUGAUCAGCCAGACUGGAACUGAGACACGGUCCAGACUCCUACGGGAGGCAGCAGUGAGGAAUAUUACACAAUGAGCGAAAGCUUGAUGGAGCAAUGCCGCGUGCAGGAUGAAGGCCCUCGGGUUGUAAACUGCUUUUAUAAGAGAAGAUUAUGACGGUAACUUAUGAAUAAGGGACGGCUAACUACGUG